rnacentral:rRNA from 1 species
GAUGAACGCUGGCGGCGUGCCUAAUACAUGCAAGUCGAACGAAACUUCUUUAUCACCGAGUGCUUGCACUCACCGAUACAGAGUUGAGUGGCGAACGGGUGAGUAACACGUGGGCAACCUGCCCAAAAGAGGGGGAUAACACUUGGAAACAGGUGCUAAUACCGCAUAACCAUAGUUACCGCAUGGUAACUAUGUACAAGGUGGCUAUACUACCGCUUUUGGAUGGGCCCGCGGCGCAUUAGCUAGUUGGUAGGGUAAAGGCUUACCAAGGCAAUGAUGCGUAGCCGAAUUGAGAGGUUGAUCGGCCACAUUGGGACUGAGACACGGCCCAAACUCCUACGGGAGGCAGCAGUAGGGAAUCUUCCACAAUGGGCGAAAGCCUGAUGGAGCAACGCCGCGUGGGUGAAGAAGGUCUUCGGAUCGUAAAACCCUGUUGUUAGAGAAGAAAGUGCGUGAGAGUAACUGUUCACGUUUCGACGGUAUCUAACCAGAAAGCCACGGCUAACUACGU